UACGUAGGGGGCAAGCGUUAUCCGGAAUUAUUGGGCGUAAAGAGCCCGUAGGCGGUUUGUCGCGUCUGCUGUGAAAACCGGAGGCUCAACCUCCGGCCUGCAGUGGGUACGGGCAAACUAGAGUGCGGUAGGGGAGAUUGGAAUUCCUGGUGUAGCGGUGGAAUGCGCAGAUAUCAGGAGGAACACCGAUGGCGAAGGCAGAUCUCUGGGCCGUAACUGACGCUGAGGAGCGAAAGCGUGGGGAGCGAACAGG
rnacentral:rRNA from 1 species